CUCCGGGAUGGGGCAGCAGGGAGCUUGCAGCCCCGGGCCUUGGGAGGCCUGUGCCGGCCUGCAGCUGUCCCCGCCUGGAGCCCUGCGUUGCCAGGUGGGGGGCGGCUGGCUGGGAGGCGCUGCUCAGCAGCCCAAGACCAGCCUUAUAUUUAGGCGUAGUAGGUGGCUGCCUACGCGGUGCGAUUUCACAGGCUCUGGGGGGCCCCUUCCAAGCCCCAAAAUACCUCCUCCACCUGCUUCCUGCGUUGCCAUCUGACCAGGGAACAGCUUUCCGGUCCCGGUUAGGCAGCAGUGGCUGCCCUGCUGUGGGCGCCAACGCCCGUCUGAGUCAGCGUCCAACCUGGAGCAGGAGAGCACGGGCUCUGAGUGGAAAGGCCACUUAAGGCCACGUCCAGGAGGGCCAUGCCGAGCCCCCUCGGCCUCGGGUCCCCUGCGGAACCGUCAGGAGCCUGCGGUGCCGAUUGGCAGGGCCUGCUGGGCCCGGCUCUUGCCAGUGCUAGGAUGCUGAGGGCACCCCCCGCCCCCGCCCGGGACCCACGCAUCCCACCCACGGGCCUGCGCCGUCCAGGAGAGGGCAGGAGCUGGGCAGCUCAGGCUGUGACCUGCUGAGGAGACCAGGGCAGUGUGGAGAGAGAAGAGCGUUUGAUCUGAGGCGUUGUGGGUAGGGGUCUGCCAGGCAGUGAGGGGAGGAGGCUUCGGUGUGGUGGGAACAGCACAGGGCAUGGCGCAAGCCGGGAAGGGGCGGGCACGGUGAAGGACCCAAGGGGACUAGGGGACAAGCGGAAAGCCAGAGAGCUGAGGCAGAGUGAGCGGCAGCCCGCCUUCUACUCCCAGUGGGUUUGUACAGUAGCCAGUGGCCCCUGGGCUCCUGUUAGGGCUGCAGCUUACAGCCAUGACCCACUGCCCGAGCUGCAGGUGACCCCCAGGUGGACGGAGAGCUCUUCAGAAUGUGAGGGGCGCCUGGAGGGAGGACUGGGGCUCACAAAGGGUGGACACCUGGUGGAAGGCACCCCGCCUCUCCCCCUCUCUCAGACCCCAGGUACCACAGGACUUGGUGCAGGCAGAGCCACCAGGACACUUCGUCUGCCCUCGGUGUUCUUAUUGCACAACCGUGAAGCAAGCCCAUUUUUAUUCAAGUAAAAAUAGGUACAGAGUCUCUUGGAACCUGGAAGUCCCUUCUCUUGGCCACUUGCUGAGGCUGAGCACUGGGGACCACAUCAUCACCACAUGUCCUCCAUGGCUGGCUUACACAGAGGGACGGCACCACACAUGUGCCGUGCCUGGUCCAUGGGGCUGGGGGGGCCUUCUCGAGUCAGCCUCAGUAGGAAAGUGUCAUUCUCAGUGGCUGCACAGGACGCCAGGUGAAGCCUACGUUUGUCCUGCUAUGGAGGACACUUUGACAAACACGGGCACAGAGGAGAGAUGCCCUGAGGACACAGGAGAAGGUGGCCAUCUGAAGCCAAGGACAGCCCCGGGAGGAACGACCCUGCUGACACCCUGGACUUGCCGCCCGCAGGACUGGGAGUGGACCUGCACUUCAAGCUGCUGGCCUGGGGCCCUUCACGGAAGCUGGGAACCGAUGGCUCAUUUAUUAGAUCUGGUGGCUUUUGAGACCCAAGGCUCCGUUGGCAGGUGGCACCUGUGGCUCAAGAAUCACACUAGUGGAGGGUCCAGGCCCCUGAGCUACCUUUCCUGAACUUCCUUCGAGGGGGCACAGCACCAGACAGCAGAGUGGCCGGGAACAGCAGCCGGGCGACUUGCUCCCUCGUUGCAGCUGUGCUGUGAGGUGCCCACGGCACGCGUGGUGAGCCGGGCCUGGGCACGCUCACCCGCCCGUGAAACCUGGUGUGCCUCUCCUGGAGGGGAGAGGGAAGCCCGAGGCCUGAGACACGUUCCCGAGGGCGUCUGCACAUCUGCUGGCUGAGGCUGGCUGGGUCAGGAUGGGCUCUGACCCAGGACAGGACGUCCUCCCUGCAGGCCGCACACGGUGUCUAGGCCCGCCCAUGAGCUCUCAGCCCCUCAGCCCCUCAGCCCGCUGUGCUGUAAGGAAUCCUCUUGGCCCCGAGGACGAAGGCUCGGGUCCUUAAUUGCUCAAGGAGAUGAGACAUUUUCUGCUUGAAAAGAAAAGAGAGAAUAAACCCGGCCCUCCUCCACCCCAGCUCCCUGCCUCUGCCAGGUCUGCUGCUCCCGGCCCUCCCUUCCUCCCCAUGGUGGGGAGACAGAAAGGCCUUCUGAGGUGGUGGCCGCUCUUCUGCCUCCGUAUUAAGGAUUCUCAAAGGUCAAACAAGACAGAGGGGAGCUAACUGCUCAGUUCCGAGUCUUCAAGGUGGGGAGGCUGGCCCCCCUCAGCGUCAGUGGGACUACCGAGUGAGUUCAACAAUCCACACAGGACGCUUGGGAUGCUGGGAGGCCACUGAGGAUGCCCCCAAACUGCCUUGCCUCCCACGAUUGCUCCCCGCCCACCACCUCCCCCCAUCCGUUUCCUUGCCACCUCCCCCAGCUCAGGUCUGCCACAGGGCCUUUGCAUGGUUCUUCUGGCAGACAUUUGGCUCCCUGGUGCCCUCGCGGUUUGCUCUCCUGUGUCAUCUAGGUCUGUGCUCGGCCACCCCUCACAGAAGGCCCUCCGGACCUCCCCACUUCGCUUUCAGCCCCCACCCUUGUUUCCCUGCCCUCCCCCUGCUGAACCCCUUCCAGAACCUGUUCCCCACCACCUAGACCACGAGCCCUGCACACAGACUUCCUUCCUGCUGAGUCUCCAGUGGAGACAGCCUCCCCUGGCAUGCAGUAGGCAUCAAUCAGUGCUCUUGAGAACUGGUUGGGAGGGCCCUUGCCUGUCACCCCGUCUCCGGGCUGCCAGUCAUCUGGCCAGAACUGACCACGGCGCUGACUGCAAAACUACGCAGCAGUCCCCACAGAGGCCGAGGAGGCCCCGCCAUGGUGUCUUGCCUGGACCCCAGCUGGGCCCUGGGGCCUCCCAGUGGGCUUCGGCUGGGGUCUUGUUCCAGAAGUCUCUGUGGCCCAAAGCCCAGGCCCUCAGGCUUGAGGAGGGUGAGGUUUCUGUCAGUCACGGCAGGCCUCCGGGGGCUCUGUCCAGGAGCGGCGGGGUGCACACACCUGGGGGCCCUGCUCCUCCUCGGCUUUGUUCUCAGGCCCCUGGCUCCCCUGGUGGAAGCUUCCGUUCCCCUCUGUGCACUGUGGGGGGUGGGCACCCCUGCCAUGUGAGCCUGAGCCCCUCUCCCCGCGGCUGGCUGGGGUGGCGGUACCUACAGUGGGGAUCUGAGUGGGCGGUGGCAGCCCAGGAAGGACACAUGGGGUGAUCUCACAGGCAGAGCCUAGGCCUGCGCCCCUCGGCCUGGCGGAGCGAGUCACAGGGUGUGGCCCUGGGCCUUCUCUUCUGGGGUGGGCCUGUAUUGCCACCCCCGCCUGUCCUCAGCAGAGAGAAGGGGAGCUUGAAAGUCACCAGGAAGGCGAGUUGGCAGCCCCAUCGCUGCUGUGGCUCCUGCCUGCUCUCCAAGGUGACUCCAGAGGCCCUGACCCCUGAGCAGAAGGCCUCAAAGGGCCUUGGUGUCUCUCCAGGGGACUGGGCGUGUCCUUGCAUCCUGUGCCUGCCCGGCUGUGUCUCUGCAGAUUCUCGGAGCCUCAGGCUUAGCAGGGCUCCCGACAAGCUCAGCAGCCCUGGGUGACCAGGGUCCUCCGUGACAAGCUCAGCAGCCCUGGGUGACCAGGGUCCUCCGUGACAAGCUCAGCAGCCCUGGGUGACCAGGGUCCUCCGUGACGACACGCUCAGCAGCCCUGGGUGACCAGGGUCCUCCGUGACAAGCUCAGCAGCCCUGGGUGACCAGGGUCCUCCGUGACACGCUCAGUAGCCUUCAGAUGCCCUUGAGGUGAAUGGGGGCAGCUCUGGAGCAGUGGGAAAUGGUGGCUCGAGUCUGGGAGGCAGAGCGGCCCCUGCCCUCUGCCCGGGUCCCUGGUCAUGCAGAACACAGCAGCACCUUGGGCCUGGGCGUGGGCACAGCUGCUGGGGGCCAGGCAGACCCUUCCCUGUGAACAGGCGGACCCCAAACGAGGCCAGCAGCUGGAGGAGUUGGGAAGAGGGAAGAAGAGGCUGGGAAGCAGGAGGGGUGGGCGGCGAGGCCGGGAGGACCUGAGGUGGGGUCCGACCCCCGAGCUGUGCAGCCUUCCGAGUCCUGGAGAAGUCUCUAGGGCCCCUAUUUGGGGCCCUGGGGGUGACUGGAGAGCCUGGGCAAUACCCCCACCCCACAGACCCUGGGAGUGGGGUACUGAGGCCCAGAACAGCAGCCAGUGGGCCAGAUAGGCAGGAACUCGGGGUGCCAGCUCCCCGUCACUGCUGUGGCGGGCAGGGGUGUGGGUGGGCAGCAGAGGGGCCCAAGCCCCACACCAGCACCAGGACAGCCUCUGUGUCAGAGGCAGGGGGUGAGGUGGUCUUAGGGGAGGAGGGCUGCUGCCCAGAGAGAGGACGGGUCGGUGUGGGUGAGCGUGUGUGGCCGUGGGCUCAUGGGUGUGCAUGAGUGUACGAGGGAC